rnacentral:rRNA from 1 species
AGGACGAACGCUGGCGGCGUGCUUAACACAUGCAAGUCGAGCGGAAAGGCCCUUCGGGGUACUCGAGCGGCGAACGGGUGAGUAACACGUGAGUAAUCUGCCCCUAGCUCUGGGAUAGCUCCGGGAAACCGGGAUUAAUACCAGAUACGACCACUUUAGACAUCUGCUGUGGUGGAAAGAAUUUCGGCUAGGGAUGAUCUCGCGGCCUAUCAGCUUGUUGGUGAGGUAACGGCUCACCAAGGCGACGACGGGUAGCCGGCCUGAGAGGGCGACCGGCCACACUGGGACUGAGACACGGCCCAGACUCCUACGGGAGGCAGCAGUGGGGAAUAUUGCGCAAUGGGCGAAAGCCUGACGCAGCGACGCCGCGUGGGGGAUGAAGGCCUUCGGGUUGUAACCCCUUCAGCAGGGACGAAGCGAAAGUGACGGUACCUGCAGAAGAGCGCCGGCUAACUACGCGCCAGCAGCCGCGGUAA